GAUCACGUCAAAUACGUCUUUCCCAGAAAAUCCCACGUUUAGAAGACUGAACGAGUCUUAGCUAAACUUGUAAUAUACGUCAAUAAGACGGCGGCAACACACAUAAAAACAUAUAAUCUAAGAGUUACCGUUCAACGUACGAUUUAAGAAGUAGAUAGAUACCUUUUCAAUAUGUCAACAUCUAAAUCAACAUGAGUAUAGGAAGGUAAUGAAUUGAUUUUAACAAUACUACCAUGGGCCAUCGACAUCAAGGUCACAAAAAUGAAAACAAAAAUACGUUACGGUUUGAGAAAAGACAACCACUCACGAGAUUCCUGAUUUGAACCAAACACGUGAAUAUGUGGAGUGUUAUUUCUAUGUAUCAACUACCUCUUUUCUUUAAAUAUGCUAUCAAUAUAAGAAUAUAGAAUACUAAAAUGCAAUAUCAUAUUUCCGUUCGAGCAUAUAAGAUAUCACACUUUGUAUCAAUAAGAUGGUUUGUAUGAGUGUUGAUCUAAUCAGAUCACAUGACACAAACAGUCGUUAAGAACGAACCAUCCUCAAUUAAGAACUAACUUACUGUUGACAAUGUGGUAAGCUUAUUAAUCAGGUUGAAUUAACCAUCCCUUAAAAUAGUAUAUAAAUACAACAGAUAAUGUAUGAUACAAGCCAUUACGUCAGACGUUCUAAAGCCUUAACAAGUAUAUUAGACAAAAUUCAAGUACAAAAAUCGGAUCCUGAUAUCUGAUAAACUAGUAUGGCGUUCAUUAUCACUGAACUAGUAUAUAUUUAUUGAGGAGUGUUUGGAUGGGGUUAAAUGAUUAAAGAAUAAUGCCCUUAAAAUGAAGAUUAGAGAAUAACGGGCAAAAAAAAUGAAGAUUAGAGAAAAAAGGGGUUAAUUUUUUGAAGAUUAGAGAUUAAAAGGGUUAAUUUUUUAAAGAUUAGAAAAAAGGGUGAAUAUUAAAUGUUUACAGAAUAACAGACCCCCAUCCAGACCCUCAUUUAGGGGUCAGCUGAAGGACG
rnacentral:lncRNA from 1 species